rnacentral:rRNA from 2 species
UCGCAGCUAUAAUGCAAGUCGAGCGAACAGAUGAGAAGCUUGCUUCUCUGAUGUUAGCGGCGGACGGGUGAGUAACACGUGGGUAACCUACCUAUAAGACUGGGAUAACUCCGGGAAACCGGGGCUAAUACCGGAUAAUAUAUUGAACCGCAUGGUUCAAUGUUGAAAGACGGUUUCGGCUGUCACUUAUAGAUGGACCCGCGCCGUAUUAGCUAGUUGGUAAGGUAACGGCUUACCAAGGCAACGAUACGUAGCCGACCUGAGAGGGUGAUCGGCCACACUGGAACUGAGACACGGUCCAGACUCCUACGGGAGGCAGCAGUAGGGAAUCUUCCGCAAUGGGCGAAAGCCUGACGGAGCAACGCCGCGUGAGUGAUGAAGGUCUUAGGAUCGUAAAACUCUGUUGUUAGGGAAGAACAAAUUUGUUAGUAACUGAACAAGUCUUGACGGUACCUAACCAGAAAGCCACGGCUAACUACGUGCCAGCAGCCGCGGUAAUACGUAGGUGGCAAGCGUUAUCCGGAAUUAUUGGGCGUAAAGCGCGCGUAGGCGGUUUCUUAAGUCUGAUGUGAAAGCCCACGGCUCAACCGUGGAGGGUCAUUGGAAACUGGGGAACUUGAGUGCAGAAGAGGAGAGUGGAAUUCCAUGUGUAGCGGUGAAAUGCGCAGAGAUAUGGAGGAACACCAGUGGCGAAGGCGGCUCUCUGGUCUGUAACUGACGCUGAUGUGCGAAAGCGUGGGGAUCAAACAGGAUUAGAUACCCUGGUAGUCCACGCCGUAAACGAUGAGUGCUAAGUGUUAGGGGGUUUCCGCCCCUUAGUGCUGCAGCUAACGCAUUAAGCACCUCCCGCCC